rnacentral:rRNA from 1 species
UACAGAGGGUGCUAGCGUUGUUCGGAAUCAUUGGGCGUAAAGGGCGUGUAGGCGGUUUGUUAAGUCAUGUGUGAAAUCCCUCGGCUCAACCGGGGAACGACGCAUGAAACUGGCAAGCUAGAGUACCAAAGAGGGGGGUGGAAUUCCCGGUGUAGCGGUGGAAAUGCGUAGAUAUCGUAAGGAAGACCAGUGGCGAAGGCGGGUCUCUGGACGGUGACUGACGCUGAGACGCGAAAGCGUGGGGAGCAAACAGG